rnacentral:lncRNA from 1 species
CUCACCCAGGCUAGGGCGAAGGGACCUCCCUGUGGUGCGCAGAGCCUGGUGCCUCUGUUCCCUGUUCUAUGCCUGGGUUCCGAGGGAGCAGGAGGCUCACAGUAGGUGCUCAGGAACUAAUUUGUGACGUCAAAACAUGCAGCUGUCUUGUGCUUGGCACUCUCUCCAGCCUCUAGCACAGUACCCGGUACACACAGCAAACGGUGAAUAACUAUUGUUGAGUUAGUAAAUGAGAAGCAAGAACAAAUGGCUUGGUUUUAGUAACAGCAAUUACAGACAGCUACGCACCAGGCACUAUGCUAAACCCCUGGCAUGGUUUUCCUGAUUUGUCCUCUGCUCAACAUGGAAAACAGAGGGCAAGGGAAAGUGUUUAAACAGGGGUGGGGUGAGACUCUGCCCAUCAAGGCUGGUGGCGCCAGUGAUGAGCUCUCUCAGCAUCUCGCAGCCCCUGGUACAAAGCACUCACUGGGCGCGACCUCGCCUGUGGCAUCCUUGUCAACAAUGAGCACGUACGACAUCAAGCAAACCACGAGGAGACACCAGGCAAGCCCAAAUGAAGGGACAGUGUGCAGAAAACCUGCGCAGCAUUCAUCAGAAGUGUCAUCAAGAGAGACAAAGACCAGCCAGGGGGCUGUCACAGGUGCAGACUAGACAGGGGUGCAAAUUGGAACCCUUGACUGGACCACAGAGUGGCAAGUGGACAUCUGUGGGAAAGCUGGUGAAAGCCAGGUGGAGCCUGGCGUUUAUUAAGAGCCUUGCGCCCAUCCCAGUGUUUCCAUUAGGGGAAGGUGGGUGGAGGGCGUGCCAGAGCUCUCUGUACCCUCUUCGCAAAUCUUUCAUAGUUCUAAACUUACUUUAAAAUAAAAAGUUACAGGAAACAUAAUAGAUGCUGAUCAGCAGAAUCUCCAUGUGCUGCUUGCAGGCUAUGUGACCCUGUGCAACUUACUUGACCCCUCUGGGCCCCCGUCUUUCCAUCUGCAAAGUGGAUACUGAAAACUGCCCCCGUUUUACAAGCUCACUUGUGAGAAUCAGAUGAACUAAUACCUGUGAGAUGCUGAGAGCUGCAGCUGGUGCUCAGAAACGCUGAAGGUGGUGACACCCGCUGUCCAGCCACGCAGGGACCCCUAUCAGCGUCCUGACUGGCGCAUUUCCUAAUAUCUCCCAG